rnacentral:rRNA from 1 species
GACGAACGCUGGCGGCGUGCUUAACACAUGCAAGUCGAACGGAAAGGCCCUGCUUUUGUGGGGUGCUCGAGUGGCGAACGGGUGAGUAACACGUGAGUAACCUGCCCUUGACUUUGGGAUAACUUCAGGAAACUGGGGCUAAUACCGGAUAGGAGCUCCUGCUGCAUGGUGGGGGUUGGAAAGUUUCGGCGGUUGGGGAUGGACUCGCGGCUUAUCAGCUUGUUGGUGGGGUAGUGGCUUACCAAGGCUUUGACGGGUAGCCGGCCUGAGAGGGUGACCGGCCACGUUGGGACUGAGAUACGGCCCAGACUCCUACGGGAGGCAGCAGUGGGGAAUAUUACACAAUGGGCGGAAGCCUGAUGCAGCAACGCCGCGUGCGGGAUGACGGCCUUCGGGUUGUAAACCGCUUUCGCCUGUGACGAAGCGUGAGUGACGGUAAUGGGUAAAGAAGCACCGGCUAACUACGUG